rnacentral:lncRNA from 1 species
AGCCAUAUUUUAUGUACUGUCCCUGAGCUACCUAGUGUAGCAGCCACUUCAAGAGAACACUAGGAUAUGCUUCCUAAAUCUUGUAUUCUACCUUUACUCAUCUGCUGAACUCAGCUCUUCCCUUGAAAAUUAAGAAAUUUCCUUUGUUCUAUGGGUUAUUUGGGCCUCUACCUCAGUAUCCCCAACUGCAAGUGGGAAUCAUUACUAUGGGAUAUUUCACCUGGGAUCUAUCUUAGUGUAUCCCUACAUCAAAAAAGAAAUGUGUUUUUAAAGUUUAUUCCCUCUCCCUAUUCCCCAUCCCUCUCCCAUGUGUGUGUGUGUGUGUGUGUGUGUGUGUGUGUGUGUGUGUUCACAUGUGCAUCAUGUGUGUCUGUCUCUCACUGGCCCAGGAAUGACUUUCUAUUGGAAAUUGGAUGAAAAACCACUCUUGUCACACUGUAGCAAAGAAGUUACCAGAUUGGGUACUUCACCUUUGACUAUGGAAAGCUAAAAUUAAGAAUGCUAGACUACUAACUGAGUAUAACAGUAUGUGCCUGCCUUUAAUCUCAGCACUUGGGAGGCAGAGGCAGGUGCAUCUCUGUAAGUUCAAAGCCAGGUUGGUCUGCAGAGUAAGUUCUACCAAGGCUACAUAGAGAAACUUUGUCUCAAAAAACAAAUAAAAGAUUAAUUUAUUUGGUAAAAGGGAUUCUUUCUUCCUCCUUCUCCUCCUCCUCCUCCUCUUCCUCCUCCUCCUCCUCCUCCUCCUCCUCCUCCUCCUUCUUCUUCUUCUUCUCUCUCUCUCUCUCUCUCUCUCUCUCUCUCUCUCUCUCUCUCUCUCACAUCUCUUUUUCAUCCUGUGCAUGUUCUGCAAACACUCUUAUUACUGAGCCUAAUCCCCAGCUCUCUUUUUACUUUUAUUUUGAGACACUGUUUUACUAGUUAUCUACUCUGGUCUUGAACUCACUAUGUGGCUGAGGUUGGCCUUGACUUUUCAGUUUUCCUCUCUCAUUUUCUCAAGUAGCUGAGACUACAGAAGAGAUUUUUUUAAAUUAUUUUAUUUUAUUUUAUGUGUAUGGGUGUUUUAACUGCUUGUAUAUUUGUGUGCUAUGCAUGUGUAGUGCCUGAAAGAGGCCAGAAGAGGAUAUCAUAUCACUUGGACUGGAGUUAUGAUUGUGAGCCACCAUGUGGGUACUGGGAACUGAACCCUGUCUCCCAGAAGAACAGCCAGUGGCUUAACCACUGUGGUGGUUUGAAUGGGAUGGCCCAUAGGUUUAAAUAUUUAAGUAUUUAGUCCCCAGUUAGUGGAACUGUUUGGAAAGGAUUAGAAGGUAUGGCCUGUUGGAGUUCGUCAAAAGACCCUUACUCACAAAGACCACAGAGAUCGCCAUCGCUGCAAACCACAUGAGGAGUUUUUAUUGAUCCAACAUGCUGGGGACUCCCCUCUCAGCAUGCAGACCAGAGGAGAGACAUAGAACAUAGAAAGAACACACUUUUUAUACCUUUGUAAGGGGCAGACUUGGGAAAUAGAGUUCUCAUUGGUGUAGCAAGUAACCCUUUCAGGCAUUGGUUGGUUUGCAUAGUGACUACCUUUGGCCUAGUGACUCACUUUGCUUGCCCCCAUGGUGGGUUAUUAUGAUUUGGUCAGCAAAGUAAUAGUCCAUUUUGAACUUAUGGGUCAUUCACAGCUACUAACGUCACAGGGGAUCCUAGCAAGGUCAGGGUGGUUUGUGGUCUUUCUCAGAAUUCAGUGUGGGGUGGGGUAGGGGAAUUUCUCUAGGAACUGCUAUCUUGUUAUGGUUAUUUCUCUGAGAACAGCUAAUAUUGUUUUGGUAGCUGUAGUCUUAAUCAUUUUGACCGCUAAAACUAUGUUUUUACAUUUGUUUAGUCAGCCAGCUUUCUUAUCUGGCUCUGCACUUGUCCUGCUAGUAUAGUUUGGAAAUUCCUUUUCGAAGGGUGAAGGUACUGGGUGGUCUUGAAUUCAUUUUGAAUAUUACAGCCUUGUUGGAGGAGGUAUAUCAUUGAGUGGGCUUUGAGGUUUCAAAAGCCCAUUCGAGGUCCAGUUUCUCUUUCUCUUCCCUGUGCCUGUGUAUCAGUGUGUAAAGCUUUCAGUUAUUGCUUGGCACAGUGCCUAUCCACUUUUUCAUGAUAAUUGUGAACUCACCCUCAAAAACUUUAAGCAAGCCCCAAAUUUAAUGCUUUAUUUUAUAAGAGUUGCCUUGGUCAUGAUGUCUCUUCACAGAAAUAGAACUGUAACUAAGAUGCUGGGUAGUGGUAGCAUAUGCCUUUAAUCCCAGCACUCUGGAGACAGAGGCAGGCAGAUCUCUGAGUUGGAGCCUAGUCUGGUCUAUGGAGAGAGUUUUAGGACAGCCAGGGAUACACAGAGAAACCUUAUUUCUAAAAAAGAAAGAAAGAAGAACCGUAAAUAAG